rnacentral:rRNA from 1 species
GACGAACGCUGGCGGCGUGCUUAACACAUGCAAGUCGAACGGACAGGUCCUGCUUUUGUGGGGUGCUCGAGUGGCGAACGGAUGAGUAACACGCGAGUAACCUGCCUUCGACUUUGGGCUAGCUACAGGAAACUGGGGCUAAUUCCGACUAGGAGCUCCUGCUGCACGGUGGGGGUUGGAAAGUUUCGGCGGUUGGGGAUGGACUCGUGGCUUCUCAGCUUGUCGGUGGGGUAGUGGCGUACCAAGGCUUUGACGGGUAGCCGGCCUGAGAGGGUGACCGGCGAGAUUGGGACUGGGAUACGGCCCAGACUCCUACGGGAGGCAGCAGUGGGGUAUAUGGCACAAUGGUCGGAAGCCUGAUGCAGCAACGCCGCGUGCGUGAUGACGUCAUUCGGGUUGUAAACCGCUCUCGCCGGUGACGGAGCGGGAGUGACGGUAAUGGGUAAAGAAGCACCGGCUAACUACGUG